CACUUGUUCCUUUGUGGUCGUUGAACGCCUGUAACGUUCCAGGUGCUUGGGAUCCAUGAGUGAAUAAAACCAAGGGCCCUGCCUUCCUUGGGACUUACAGUCCAGGGGAGACAGAGCCGCUGAUUUCAGGUCUCAUCUGCUGUCUUUUUCUCUCCAGCCUUUGGCCCUUCUUAUCAGGAUGAAAACGCUUCUGUUUGGUGUCUGGACCCUGCUGGCCUUGAUCCUUUGCCAGGGGUCCCGGAAGAGUUGUUUGAGGUUUCUAUUUGGCCAAGUCAGGCCCUGGUGGAGUUUGGACAGUCCCUAGUGGUCAACUGCAGCACUACUUGCCCAGACCCAGGACCCAGUGGAAUUGAGACCUUCUUAAAGAAAACUCAGGUGGGCAAAGGGCCUCAGUGGAAAGAGUUUCUUCUGGAGGAUGUCACAGAGAAUUCCAUCCUGCAGUGCUUCUUCUCUUGUGCAGGGAUUCAAAAGGACACAAGCCUUGGCAUCACUGUGUAUUAGCCACCAGAGCAAGUGAUCCUGGAGCUGCAGCCUGCCUGGGUGGCUGUGGACGAAGCCUUCACAGUGAAGUGUCAUGUACCCAGUGUAGCACCCUUGGAGAGUCUCACCCUUGCCCUUCUCCAGGGUAACCAAGAACUGCAUAGAAAGAACUUUACGAGCUUGGCUGUGGCCUCCCAAAGAGCUGAAGUCAUCAUCAGUGUCAGAGCCCAAAAGGAGAAUGACAGAUGCAAUUCUUCCUGCCAUGCAGAACUGGACUUGAGUUUGCAAGGUGGGAGGCUCUUUCAAGGCAGCUCACCCAUCAGAAUAGUCCGGAUCUUUGAAUUCUCUCAGAGUCCCCACAUCUGGGUCUCUUCCCUUUUGGAGGCUGGGAUGGCGGAGACUGUGAGCUGCGAGGUGGCUAGGGUGUUUCCAGCCAAAGAAGUUAUGUUCCACAUGUUCCUGGAAGACCAAGAGCUGAGCUCCUUCCUUUCCUGGGAGGGGGACACAGCAUGGGCCAAUGCUACCAUUCGGACCAUGGAGGCUGGUGAUCAGGAACUGUCUUGCUUUGCAUCUCUGGGUGCAAUGGAACAGAAGA
rnacentral:lncRNA from 1 species